GUCAGUGACCCCCCUCAGGACUGGUGUACCCAUCGCCCCUCUCAUCUCUGCAGCUGCUGUGGGUGAUCCGAGGCCGAGUGAGUCUGUGAAUGGAGUGUCUGCUGCCGACCUGAGCGCUGUCCAGCUGGAGACGUCUUUUGGAAGGUAACAUCACCCUGCCAUCCAGACCACAACACUACACUAUGUGAUUUCAGAGAACUUUCUUCAAGCUCAAGAAAAUAUAUCAACUUUCAGUCUUAACAUUUGCUUGGAAAUCCAUUUUUCUGAGCAUUCUGAAGCAGUUUGAGACAUCAGGCUCAUUUGAAGAGAACACAAGCUACAUACCAGAACAAUACAAGCCACAGCAAUAUUUUUGAAGAAAGCAUCUUUCAGGUCUCCAGAUAUUUAUGCAUUGCUUGAAAAUGAGUAUGGAAGUUCUCCAAUAACUUUACCAGACUGAACACGAGCAGGUCACUUGCUGACUCACAGAAGUGGUGCCCCUGCUUCUCUCGUGUAGCAUUCUGGGUGAGCUGAAAAAGGGAGAACAAAGAGCUGCUUGUAUCCCAGGAUUUCCUCUGGUAGACUUGCUCCUGAGAGCAGCUCAGAUCUAAGGUAGAGAUCAGAAAGAGACACCAUCAUCAGUGCCUGAACCCCAUUAACUUCAAAUCACUUGAAUCCAGGAGCAAAGCUGAAGGCAAAGGCUGUCUGAGUCAUUCCCACCGUCCUCACAUCACAGGAGCAUCCACACACGGUACAAGGGGCUGGAAAGGUGCACAAGGGGCUUCAUGGAUACUCAUCUUUUUCUCCAAAAACAAACUCUGUUCAAUUGCUUUUUCAGAUUCUUUACCUGAGACCCAUGAUAGGGCUUAAUAUUUAAAUUUAUUUUAAUGUUUUGCAUUUUAAUUCCUUACUUCAAACUCAACUACUCAGCUGCUGCCAUUGGCCAUUGAAAAAACAAAGCACACAGUAAUACUCCAAAAACAAGGAAAAAUCCUAGUCAAUGCAUAUACUUUUUUGUUUAUCAUAUUUUGUAACUUUGAACUUUAGCAAUAGAAAUAUUUUGCACCGGAGCUUGCUACUUACUGCCAAGUUCUUCUUUGGUCCCCUGCUGUUGCAGUAAUGCCUUGCUAAAGACAUGCAUUUCUGAAGGACUUUUAUUUUUGUCUCCCUACAAUUCACCUGUAUGGGUAGACACCUGAAUAUCAGUUAACAGGUAGUCUUCAAUUUGCGCAUUUUUAAACAAUGUUUGGGAUUUAGUUGUUUCUUAUUGAUGCUUUUAUUUAUUUCUCUUUUUUUUUUUUUUUUCUGAAAGAAUAGGAAAAAAAGGAAAAAUCAUGAUGGAGAGUAGGGGAGAAUUAAAGAAGUUGAUAUAUAUAAUACAUGUAUGUAUUCUUAUUUUAUAUAUAUAUAUUAAGAAUAAUGAUCUGAAUAGGCACCAGAGACCAUUGAUACUUAUUGCACAGGUAUAGGUGACAGAGAUAGAGCUUGGAAAAAGAAUCUCAAAGAGGAGAUGCAAGCCAUAGAGAAAGAGCAGUGUUUAAGAGGAGAGAAAACAGGUAGAUUAAAUGAGAAAAGUGGAAGCAAAAACUACUGUGAUCUGAUAAAAAUACAAAGGAUUAAUAAUGAGCCAUUGUGAUUCUAAAUCAUGCAAAAUACACUGUUCAGAACAAAUCCAGCUAAUCAGGAAAAUUAGUUGCAUCUUUUAAUCAACUUGCUGAACAUUUGAUGAAUUAAAGGUCCAUAUUUCAAAAAGUUAUUGAAGAAAAGCUGGGAGAGGUAAGAAGGAUGUAUUAUUUUAUUUUUUUUUUUUAUUGAGUCAUCGUAUGGCACUUCACCCUUUGUGCACAUGACAACAUGUUUGGGACCAGUGGGGGACAAAGCUCACUGAUGCUAGAGAAGUCUGUUAUGUGACUCAAGUAGUGGAUAUUAAAUUAAUAGAAAAUUCAAACUGGUAGAAAAACAGAUUAAUCUACUAAAUUUGUAUUAAUUCACUAUGCUAUAGAUAAGGGAAAAACAGCAGGUUUUCCUCUAAGCAGGACUGAGCAAAAUUUAGUCUUUGUUUUAGUAAAUAUUUAUUCGUGCAGUUUCUAUUCCUUGCACCUGCAUUAUUGCUCUCAGUAAAGUCUUAAAGAUAUAUAAACUGGUAUUUUUCCUUUUUAGCUGUACUCUAAACUACUAUUUAUUCAGUUUUCUGCCUUCUACAGCUCUGUGCUUGACCAUGUAUGACAUUUUCAUAUCAAAAAUAUAAUGACAGAUAGAGGUUGAAUACACUCAAAAUGGCACAAACAAAACCAAGAUCUGUUUCUUUGUCCAACUGAUGCAGUAUUGAAGAGUAACACUUUAGAUUUAGCUGCUGUUCUGAUCUCCACACAGCUGCUACUAGUGAGCUAUGUAAAGCAGGAGCUAGAACAUUAAUAGUGCAUCUUAACUUUCAACAACUGUUUCUACACACCACUACUUUAAAGAUAAAACUUGGUGUUUUGUCUUUGCACACAUUGCUUUUUGGUUUUUGGGAUUUUUCUGAUUUAACUCCUUUUAGGGAGUUUUGUUAUUGCACUAUGAGCUGAGGCAAGGAGGAUUUCUACAGAAGCAUUUUUUUGUGAUUCAGUUGUUAUUUCUCAUGAUGAGGCUAUGAUUGUUCUUGGGGGGACCUGGCUUUCUAGAAAGGAAGAGAACGCUACAGUGGGAACAGGGAUCUAUGCCAAAGGCAAUAUUGCUCACUCAUACUGCAGCUGUAACUCUGAAAGCCCAAAUAAAUGUUCAUAUCUCUCCUUUUGUUGUUAAGCAUUACAGCAAAUCACUUGUUUUUCUUGUCCUGAGGCUCCAACUGCUUUCAUGGUUAUUUCAUUGCUCUGUUUCUACCUUGCUGCAUGCUUUCUGCAGAUGGGUACUUUUCUUGACUAUACUGUCAGUGCAUAAUGGCCCUCAGCACUUCCACUUUAGUGCCAUUACAUUUAAAUGGGAAAAUGCUUCAAGCUGCUGCAACUUGGCUACUGUAUUUUCUUAGGGCCAAAUGGUUUCCUGGUACACAGAAAUCAUGAAAAAGUGAAAAUGCACUCAGGUUCUGUGUGGAUUGCCAUGUCAAUUAAAAGGUACAUACAUAUGCAGUCACUCAAGAAAAAAAACACAUUUCUGUGUUCUGAGAAUUGUAUUUUGCAUGUGUAAUUACUGCAACCAUGAGUUAUCAAGGACAGUCUACUGGUUCAGCAUUGCCUUUUGAGCAACAUUCCAGGAUGCAUUCUGACUUGGAACACUAAUCCCAAACUUAGUUCUGUUUUGCUUCAGGAGGUGCUGGUCUGUUAUGAACUGCCUAAGAAAGAAACUCAGAAAAUCCAAUUUAUUAGAGCUUGCACCACGAGGACAUACUAGUAUGUCUUACUAGACAUUAAUAUUACAAAUAAUCUUAAAUCUCUAUGGAACUCUAGGUGGUUUUGCUUCUCAUGGAUCUCCAAUCCAUGUACAGUAUACUGGGCUUUCAUGUGGACCACUAACUCCCUGGUGUACAGUGGUCUCCUAGUCAGGAUCAAUAUGGUGACUUUCUUACAGGUGCAUACAUUUAUGCUACAACCUGUGUGUAAUUUUACUUAAUUUUAUGUACAUAUAUAUAUAUAUUUGAUAAUAUAUAUGUGUAAUGGAAACUGAGCUGCUGUGUGAUAGAUGACAUGAAUGUUGUCAUCUUGGGUUUUGAGAUAAUUUGUCAAUGAAGCAGGGGAGAAAGAAUCUUAUUUCCAAAUUCCCUAAUAGAAUGGAGGAGCUAAGUAUCAGAAUGUGAUACUGAAGAGUCAUCAAGAAGGGACUAUAAGCACCGUGAAUUGGUACGUGCCUCAUGGGCACAUACCUGUUAACACUGUUAACACAGAACAUAAACUGGUUUGAAAGUGGUGUUGCUCUUCAGGUUAGGAGUUCAACCACUCUCACUGUUUAUCACAGAAUACACAGGUCAUGUAGUCUUAUACUUUAAGAGAUGGGCUCAACAAAUGGCAAUGAAAUUAGCAUUGUAACCACAAGCAGUUUGCACAGUCCAUUUUGACAAUUCCAUUCAUCAUAAAAAAAUUUGACUAAAGUUGCACACUUUCCAUCAUAACAUCUCUAAAGUCGCUUUUAUCUGAUUAAAAUAGAGGCCUAAAAAUGGUGCAGUAAUUUUGAGUGUUUAAUAAAUUUCAGUAAUAUCUAGUUAUGCAGACAAUCUCCAAUUCUUCAUUUUAUAAAAAGUCUUCCUUUGGGAUAUCUUACAACUUGUGGUGGGUUACCUUGCCCAGCCACCAGAUACCUAGUAGUCUCUCCAGCAGUCCUCCACCAUCCUCAAGGAGCAGAAAAAACAACAAAAAGCUCACAGGAAAGGACAAAUACAGGAAGAUUAUGUACAUAAGCAAAACAGACUUGGGGAAAAUAAUUCAGUUUAUUGCUAAUGUAUAAUUGAAUAGAAUAGUGAGAAAUAAGAACAAAACAAAAGAAAACCCGCAACCUUCCCCCUACCAUGCUCUUCCCCCUAGAGUGAAUUUACUCCUACCUCUUUUAUGUCCUCCUUCCCAGGCAGAAGGGGGACAGAAAAUGGGGAUUGCACUCCAAUAACAACACUUUGCCAUUCCUUUCUCUUCAUGCUGCUCCCCUGCUCCAACAAGAGGUCCCACCCACAGGAUAUGUUUCUUCAGAAACUCCUCCAAUGUAGGGCAUUUAAACAGGCAUUUCUUCAAGAAUUGCUACACCACAGGUCUUUUCCACAGUGUUCUGUCCUUUAGGUACAGAGGUAACAGGUCCUGACAGAAAGUAUUGUCCAGUUCCCCUCCAUAGGCUUCAGGUCCUGUCAGGAACCUGCUCCAUGGCUGUCCAUGGGCUCCAGAUUCCUUCAGGGCACAUCAUCAGCCUGCCAGUGGAUAUCUGCUCCAUCAUCUGCAGGGGACAGCCAGCACCCAGCAUAGUUUUCUCCAUGGAAACUUCAGGAAAAUCUUUACUCCAGUGCCUGCAGCUCCCCCACGCUCUCCUUCUUCACCAGUCUUUGUGUCUGUAGGGCUGUUUCGCUCAUAUUCUUAUUCCUCUCUCCCAGUUUUGGUUCUUUUCACUCUUUUUUAAAUAGGAAGUUGCAGAGGAACUACCACUAUCACUGUUUUACUCAGCUGUGGCCAGUGAUGGGUCCAUCUUGAAACUGUUUGAAACUGGCCCUACAUGACUUCUAAGGAAAGUCACCCCUGUACCCCUCCUGCUUGCAAUACCUUGCCCCAUAAACACAGUACACAAUUCUUCAGAACAUUUCUAAUGAAAGCAGAUAUCUGUCUAUCUAUCCAUCCAUCCAUCCAUCCAUCCAUGUUCAGUCUUAUGUAGUUGCAUUUGUUUAUUUGAAACAUGUUCUCACAUAAAAAGACUUUAAUCCAAAAUGAAAAAAUAAAAUUCAGGGUAGGGACUCACUAAUUUACACUGUUACAUUAUUUAAAUAAUUAUGAACUUUUUUACCAAAUCUAGAAUAUCCCUUCUACAAAAGUGAAGAUGAGUAUAAAAUAAAAAUAGAACAAGUGUUAAUACCUUGGCCCCAAAAUGAGUAAUGAGAAUAGGAGAAUACUGUGAGACAAAUCUCUAUCAUCCAUAUGCAGAAAUAAGAAAACUGGAGAGAGUAAGGGAAGCAACAGACCUGGAGAACUAUUUAUUAGGUAAUAAAUAGUUAUAUCCAUCAGACUACAUCCUUGAUGCUAAAACUGAGCUUGUUUCCCUUCCUCUACUUUGCAAGAGCUUCUUAUGUAAUUGCUAGAUACAUGCUGAUCUUUGCAAAGGGUGGAAGUCAAUGGUUUGGGACUGAAAAGGAAUUAACAGUGGUGUCCUGCUUUCCUCCUGAUAGAGCUGUAUUUUCAUUGCUUUGAGUUUCCUCUCCUGUAUUUUUGACAUGAGGAGGAAGGACCUGGGUUAACACUAUCUGUCAAGCGGAGCAUGCAAUGACAGGAUUUUAUCAGGACUCAAGGACAUGUGGUUAAAGUUCAGAAAUGAUAAGUAGUAGAAUUAUUGCUUCUAUUACAAAGUCUAAAAGUCUUCUUGGUUGUGCUAAGUAACUCUGUGUUUGCAUGGCUGAUGUGACAGCCCUUGCAUGCUAAAAUUUGAGGUGUCUACAGUACACAAGACAACACUACAAACAAGACAACAAUAUGAAGCUUCAAAAUUUUAUCAAAGAAAGUUUUCUGACUUGUUGAUGAGAAAUGGCCUGCUACAGACCUGUUCUAUUCUAAUAGCAUUGGAGCAUUCUAUAUUCUAUUAUUAUUCUAUAAUUCUAUUUAUAUUCUAUGAAGACCUUUGAGUGGAUACCAAUUUUGGAUAUUAAGUCAUUAAACCCUGUGUCUGAACGUGAUUUUCCCUUUUUCCUUAAAAACACUUACAGAAAAUUAGCAUUAUUGAAUUACAAUGUCUUAAAUAAUAUUACUGUGAA